GAGUUCGGUUGCUCCUCCCUGGCUGACCACCUGUGAGCAAUUAUUCCGGCAGUAUAUCAGACCUGCGCUCUCAACCGUUCAUCGCCUGAGUAUCUGCUAUCCCCAUAGGUAGCACCUGGAGUGGAGGUCUUGUCUCCCUCACUCCCGCCUUCCUGGACCUGGGCCGCUUGCUGCUGAUACGACGUGGCCUGCCGGCCCACCACUCACUUGCCUGCCUCCCCACGCCUCGACCGCUUCCGGGCCUUCCGCCCCACCUGUCCCCUCCACCUGAAACCAAUGCCCCGGCCCCUACCUAGUCCUGUUUCCACCUCCCCGCUGCCUCUGCUGUUCAGCCGUCUCCUAGAGGUGUCUAGGUCACCCUCCGUUAUCUUAGAUUAUCCUACGCGCCACUAGUGUGGUGGCGUCGUUUUGUUUUUUGCUUGUGUUUGCCUGUGGGCGGAAAUAAAUCCUUUGUUCCCUUAUCGUCUCGCUUCCGGGUUGGUUUCUGCACCUGUGUCCA